rnacentral:pre_miRNA from 1 species
GUAGUAUUCCCUCCGUCCCAAAAUUCUUGUCUUACAUUUGUUUAGAUACAGAUGUAUCUAACACUAAAAUGUAAGUAGAUACAUCCGUAUUUAGACAAAUUUAAGACAAGAAUUUUGGGACGGAGGGAGUACAAA